rnacentral:lncRNA from 1 species
UGAAUUUGGUUUACAAAGUAACAUUAUUUUACAAAAUUAAAAAAUUUAAAAAUAACUAAACCUAAAAAAUUACACAGUUCACACCUAAACCUAAUUUGAUUGUUCUCCAACGAGCCGCCAUGGGACUUUAGACGAAAAGCAAAGCAGUCUUCCGCAAAGUAAUGUAGGGUUGUCGCAGAGGAGGAGCCAUCUCCGGUUAGGUGUUGAGGAGAGGAGGUUUGGAGACGCAGAUGAGGGGAGGAGAGGCGGCGCACAGAGGAAGACAGACGUCACGGGAUAUAAUCUUCACGAAGGAGAGGAGGCGUCACGGUUAAGUAGAUGGGAUGCUCCUCCUCAGUCGUUGACGGAGACAGAUCAGAAGAUGGCGACGGCAGAGGUGGAGAGGUUGAGAUCCGUGACGAGAAGACGUGGGCAAGCUUGAGCAGAGGUGGAGAAGAGAUGCGAUACAGAGAAGAAGAUGAGAGGUUGGCGUUGCAGACGGAAACAAAAGAGACGGGAGAGAGAGAGAGAGAGAGAGAGAGAGAGAGAGAGAGAGAGAGAGAGAGAGAGAGAGAGAGAGAGAGAGAG